CUCUUGAUGACUGAAAUAGUCUAAGUCUUUUAAACUUAUUAUAGCCUUGCUUCAAGUGA
rnacentral:tRNA from 1 species